AUACGGAGGGGGCUCGCGUUGUUCGGAAUUACUGGGCGUAAAGCGCGCGUAGGCGGGUUGGUAAGUUGAAGGUGAAAUCCCAGGGCUCAACCCUGGAACUGCCUCCAAAACUGCCAGCCUCGAGAUCGGAAGAGGUGAGUGGAAUUCCUAGUGUAGAGGUGAAAUUCGUAGAUAUUAGGAAGAACACCAGUGGCGAAGGCGACUCACUGGUCCGAUACUGACGCUGAGGUGCGAAAGCGUGGGGAGCAAACAGGAUUAGAAACCCUAGUAGUCC
rnacentral:rRNA from 1 species